GCCCCGAUAGUAUAAUAAAUUACUUUGGUCUUGUAAACCAAAAAUGAAAAACUACUUUUCUCAGGGCA
rnacentral:tRNA from 1 species